GAUGAACGCUGGCGGCGUGCCUAACACAUGCAAGUCGAACGGAGAUUACGGACGGAAGUUUUCGGAUGGAAGACUGUAAUUCUUAGUGGCGGACGGGUGAGUAACGCGUGGGCAACCUGCCCUAUACAGGGGGAUAGCAGCUGGAAACGGCUGGUAAGACCGCAUAAGUCGGCGAGACCGCAUGGUUUUGCCGGGAAAUGAGCAAUCAGGUAUAGGAUGGGCCCGCGUCCGAUUAGCCAGUUGGCAGGGUAAAAGCCUACCAAAGCAACGAUCGGUAGCCGGACUGAGAGGUCGGACGGCCACAUUGGGACUGAGACACGGCCCAAACUCCUACGGGAGGCAGCAGUGGGGGAUAUUGCACAAUGGAGGAAACUCUGAUGCAGCGACGCCGCGUGAGUGAAGAAGUAUUUCGGUAUGUAAAGCUCUAUCAGCAGGGAAGAUGAUGACGGUACCUGAAUAAGAAGCCCCGGCUAACUACGUG
rnacentral:rRNA from 1 species